UACGUAGGGGGCGAGCGUUGUCCGGAUUUACUGGGCGUAAAGCGCGUGUAGGCGGCUGCUUAAGUCGGGUGUGAAAGCCCGGGGCUCAACCCCGGGAUGCCGCCCGAGACUGGGCGGCUUGAGGUCGGAAGAGGGGAGUGGAAUUCCAGGUGUAGCGGUGAAAUGCGUAGAUAUCUGGAGGAAUACCGGUGGCGAAGGCGGCAUCCUGGACCGGCAUUGACGCUGAGGAGCGAAAGCUAGGGGAGCAAACGGG
rnacentral:rRNA from 1 species